GGAUCGCAGGCUGAAACCCGCCUGCGUGAAGUUGGAAUCGCUAGUAAUCGCGGAUCAGCAUGCCGCGGUGAAUACGUUCCCGGGCCUUGUACACACCGCCCGUCACACCAUGAGAGUCGGGAACACCCGAAGUCGGUAGUCUAACCGCAAGGAGGACGCCGCCGAAGGUGGGGUUGAUGAUUAGGGUUAAGUCGUAACAAGGUAAC
rnacentral:rRNA from 1 species